rnacentral:rRNA from 1 species
AACGCUGGCGGCGUGCUUAACACAUGCAAGUCGAACGAAGCACCCUGAUUUGAUUCUUCGGAUGAAGAUCUUGGUGACUGAGUGGCGGACGGGUGAGUAACGCGUGGGUAACCUGCCUCAUACAGGGGGAUAACAGUUAGAAAUGACUGCUAAUACCGCAUAAGACCACAGCACCGCAUGGUGCAGGGGUAAAAACUCCGGUGGUAUGAGAUGGACCCGCGUCUGAUUAGGUAGUUGGUGGGGUAACGGCCUACCAAGCCGACGAUCAGUAGCCGACCUGAGAGGGUGACCGGCCACAUUGGGACUGAGACACGGCCCAAACUCCUACGGGAGGCAGCAGUGGGGAAUAUUGCACAAUGGGGGAAACCCUGAUGCAGGACGCCGCGUGAGCGAUGAAGUAUUCGGUAUGUAAGCUCUAUCAGCAGGAAAAAUGACGGUACCUGAUAGAAGCACCGGCUAAUACGUGCCACACCGCGGUAUACGUAUGGUGCAAGCGUUAUCCGGAUUUACUGGGUGUAAGGGAGCGUAGACGGAUGGCAGUUGAUGUGAAACCCGGGGCUCGACCCCGGGACUGCAUUGGAGACUGUCAUCUAGAGUACCGGAAGGUGGCGGAUUCCUAGUGUAGCGGCGAGAUGCGUAAUUUGGAGACGCCAUGCGAGGCG